CUGGGACAACCACUGGAAACGGUGGCUAAUACCGGUAUGUGCCCUUCGGGGUGAAAGGUUAACUGCCUGAAGAUGAGCUCGCGUCUGAGUUAGCUAGUUGGAAGUGUAAAGGACUCCUCAAGGCGACGAUCAGUAGCUGGUCUGAAGAGGACGAUCAGCCACACUGGGACUGAGACACGGCCCAGACUCCUACGGGAGGCAGCAGUGGGGAAUUUUCCGCCAAUGGGCGAAAGCCUGACGGAGCAAUACCGCGUGAGGGAGGAAGGCUCUUGAGGUCGUAAACCUCUUUUCUCAGGGAAGAAAAAAAUGAACGGUACCUGAGGAAUAAGCAUCGGCUAACUCCGUGCCAGCAGCCGCGGUAAUACGGAGGAUGCAAGCGUUAUCCGGAAUGACUUGGGCGUAAAGCGUCCGCAGGUGGCAAUGUAAGUCUGCUGUUAA
rnacentral:rRNA from 1 species